GCAAUAAUGGGGUAGAGGUAACCCAGGUCUUGAAAGUUAUGGGCCGAUGACACAAUUAAAGACCAGCCGAGGGUUCAAAUCCCUCUUAAUGCA